rnacentral:rRNA from 1 species
AGUGAACGCUGGCGGUAGGCCUAACACAUGCAAGUCGAACGGCAGCACAGUAAGAGCUUGCUCUUACGGGUGGCGAGUGGCGGACGGGUGAGGAAUACAUCGGAAUCUACUUUUUCGUGGGGGAUAACGUAGGGAAACUUACGCUAAUACCGCAUACGACCUACGGGUGAAAGCAGGGGAUCUUCGGACCUUGCGCAAUUGAAUGAGCCGAUGUCGGAUUAGCUAGUUGGCGGGGUAAAGGCCCACCAAGGCGACGAUCCGUAGCUGGUCUGAGAGGAUGAUAGGCACAAAGGGAAAAGAGACACGGGCCAAAUCCCACCGGGGGGAAGAAGUGGGGAAAUUUGGAAAAGGGGGGCAAGCCGGAAACAGCAAUACCGGGGGGGGGAAAAAGGCCUUGGGGUUUUAAAGCCUUUUUGUUGGGAAAAAAAAGGAGCAGGUUAAUACCCCGCUGUUUUGACGGUACCCAAAGAAUAAGCACCGGAGAACUUCGU